CGAGGCAGAGAUGCGUAGCUGAUGGGAAGCAGGUUAAUAUUCCUGCACCGUCGUAUGAUGCGAUGGGGGGACGGAUCGCGGAAGGUUGUCUGACUGUUGGAAUAGUCAGUUUCUGGUUCAUAGAAGGCGCUUAGGCAAAUCCGGGCGCGUAAUUCAAGGGACUGGGACGAAGAGUUUAGGCUCUGUAGCAAUCGGAAGUGGUUCCAAGAAAAGCCUCUAAGCUUCAGUCAUACGAGACCGUACCGCAAACCGACACAGGUGGGCGAGAUGAGUA
rnacentral:rRNA from 1 species